AGUGAACGCUGGCGGUAGGCCUAACACAUGCAAGUCGAACGGCAGCACAGUAAGAGCUUGCUCUUACGGGUGGCGAGUGGCGGACGGGUGAGGAAUACAUCGGAAUCUACUUUUUCGUGGGGGAUAACGCAGGGAAACUUACGCUAAUACCGCAUACGACCUACGGGUGAAAGCAGGGGAUCUUCGGACCUUGCGCGAUUGAAUUAGCCGAUGUCGGAUUAGCUAGUUGGCGGGGUAAAGGCCCACCAAGGCGACGAUCCGUAGCUGGUCUGAGAGGAUGAUCAGCCACACUGGAACUGAGACACGGUCCAGACUCCUACGGGAGGCAGCAGUGGGGAAUAUUGGACAAUGGGCGCAAGCCUGAUCCAGCCAUACCGCGUGAGUGAAGAAGGCCUUCGGGUUGUAAAGCCCUUUUGUUGGGAAAGAAAAGCAGCAGGUUAAUACCCCGCUGUUCUGACGGUACCCAAAGAAUAAGCACCGGCUAACUUCGUG
rnacentral:rRNA from 1 species